rnacentral:rRNA from 1 species
AUUGAACGCUGGCGGCAGGCCUAACACAUGCAAGUCGAGCGGAUGAAGGGAGCUUGCUCUCUGAUUUAGCGGCGGACGGGUGAGUAAUGCCUAGGAAUCUGCCUGGUAGUGGGGGAUAACGUUCCGAAAGGAACGCUAAUACCGCAUACGUCCUACGGGAGAAAGCGGGGGAUCUUCGGACCUCGCGCUAUCAGAUGAGCCUAGGUCGGAUCAGCUAGUUGGUGAGGUAAAGGCUCACCAAGGCGACGAUCCGUAACUGGUCUGAGAGGAUGAUCAGUAACACUGGAACUGAGACACGGUCCAGACUCCUACGGGAGGCAGCAGUGGGGAAUAUUGGACAAGGGGCGAAAGCCUGAUCCAGCCAUGCCGCGUGUGUGAAGAAGGUCUUCGGAUUGUAAAGCACUUUAAGUUGGGGGGAAGGGUUGUAGAUUAAUACUCUGCAAUUUUGACGUUACUCGCAGAAUAAGCACCGGCUAACUCUGUGCCAGCAGCCGCCGUAAUAC